UCAUGAAGUACAGUAGGGUCAUACUCGCUGUACGUUAGGGCAGCACAAAAAAUAUUAUUCAUUACAUAACCAGUGUUGGGAAGUUUACUUUUUUUUUUUUUUUGCCUGUCCCGUUUGGCUCUUUUGCCAUCAGAAUUAUUGUCUAAAGGCAAAGAAAGAUGCCCAACGGAUUUACUUUACCAAAUUGACCAUCCCAGCCUUGCCAUAAUGGUCCAUUUGAUUCACCUUUUAUUGUUUAUUUUAUUUUCACUUACUGAAUACGGGACAGACUUGACUGGGGGAAAGAAGGGGAGAAAGAAAGAGGGAAAGAGAAACAGCUGAGAAGAGGGACGGGGGAGAAGGGCAAAAAACAUAAACCAACAGAACGGGCAGAAAAAAAAAAGAAAAGAAAAAUGCAUAUAUCAAUCACCUGGAUCACCUGCUGAGAAAGAAAAAAGAAAACAAGCAGAAGAGAACAAGAGUAAUAGAAUAAACAACAUCACAAUGAUAUAUGGGAAUAUGACAGUAAAUACUAAAUAUUAAACAUUAUUGUGCAGCACAUAAGAUCAACAGAACACAGAGUGCUUUGAGGUAGGAGCCAAAAAGGGUGUAGUUUGUGGGUGUGAUCACCCGUGUGUACACCUGUGAGCAUGGACGCGCUUGUUUUUUUUUUUUUUAAAGGUUCCUUCAUGUAAUGAUCUGCUAGAGGGUGUGGGGGGGCCACAGCCCCGUCCUCCAGGGCAUGAAGCAGGUAUGGAGGAGAUCAAAACUCCAGACAUCCAGAGGCCCCCAGAACACAAGAGACCAAGGAAGACCAACAGAGGGGCAGCCGCGCCACUGUCCCAGAAAGAGCUGAGGAGAGUCCCAGAUGAGGGUUCACUCAGCAGCCGUGGAGCAGAAGCCAGGGGGAGUUGCAGUGACGUGCCCGUGAGCUCCGCCGGCAGCCACCCGUGCCUGAGUGACCGAGCCCCUGGCCGAGAAGCCGGGGGCACCCCACCUCCGAAGUGGCCCGAGCGAGCCCCAGGCUCCAGGCCCCGAUAAGCGGCCGCCAAGGAGUGAGCCGGUGUGUACCUGGACGCCCAUCCCCGGACACAAAGAACCACCAACGCACCGAUGUCUGAGGGAGUCCGCCACUGGCAGGGAAGUGGUGGUAGGGGGAGAUAGGCCUCCAAACCUUGGAGGGCCUAAGAUGUCCCCAGAGAGGUGGCGCCUGACACCCAACCUGACAUAUAGACACAGACAUACAGGCACACACAGAUACAAACAUCCAUUCCCACCCGCAUGCUCUCAUAUGCACUUACUCCACACUCAACCAACGUGGAGACAGA
ensembl:lncRNA